CUGUUUACCUAGCAGGGGAAAUACCAUGAUCACAAAUGUGGUUUUCCCAGCGCCAGGCUUAUCCAUUGCACUCUGGAUGUGUUGACCUCUGUGAUUUUCACAAAUGUGGGAAAUUCAACUACAUAAUUUGUGGUGGUGAGGAAUUGUGUUUGAACUCUCCCCU
rnacentral:snRNA from 1 species